UCUCCAUCCAUCCCUUGGCAACACUUUUUGAUGUCAUUUCUCUGAUGCCAACACUUCCUCCUGACAAAAUUAAAGAACUGGCCAAGAACAUAUUUCACUAAGGUCUGUCAUUUUUCACUGAUGUCUUUCAAUGCAAUAUAAUAAUCCUGAGGUCUCUCAUUUCCCUGGCCAGGCCAAUCACUACCUUCCUUGGACUCGAUUUCUACC
rnacentral:lncRNA from 1 species